GGCACUGUGGCCGAGUGGUCUAAGGCGCUGCACUCAAGUUCUCCGUCAACUUGCCCAUCAUCUGGGUGUCUUGCAGUCUAGAAAUAGGCGUGGGUUCGAGUCCCACCGGUGUCA